CAACUGGGCAGAGGAUCCUCCUCCAGUUGCCACUGAAAGGGCAGGACUGAAUCUGUGAAGCAUUUUGUGAAGCACUGAAUGAGCAUGGAGGGAAUGGCUGAGAGUCCCUGACAAGAGCACAAAUGAACUUCCACUUCCAGCAACAUUUAUACCAGUCAAGAGUAAACACACUCAUGUGGAGCACAGCUGAGCACCUUCAUCUCUUUGAAAGGACCUGUGGCAACUCAGCAUUGCAAGAAGAAAGGAUUCUUCUUUAGGAUGUUAGUUUAAGCUAUUGAAGUUCAUUCAAAGGAUAGUAUUUUAAGCUAUCCAAGUUCAUUAAAA